GCUCAGGAUGAACGCUGGCGGCGUGCUUAACACAUGCAAGUCGAGCGAAGCACUUAACUUUGAUUCUUUCGGGAUGAAGAGUUCUGUGACUGAGCGGCGGACGGGUGAGUAACGCGUGGGUAACCUGCCUCAUACAGGGGGAUAACGGUUAGAAAUGGCUGCUAAUACCGCAUAAGACCACAGCACCGCAUGGUGCAGGGGUAAAAACUCCGGUGGUAUGAGAUGGACCCGCGUCUGAUUAGCUGGUUGGUGGGGUAACGGCCUACCAAGGCGACGAUCAGUAGCCGGCCUGAGAGGGUGACCGGCCACAUUGGGACUGAGACACGGCCCAAACUCCUACGGGAGGCAGCAGUA
rnacentral:rRNA from 1 species